AUUAGAUUCAAUUUUCAAGAUUCAAGUGAAAUUUAAGAGCAAUUUAAUAGUUCAAUAAGGAGAUAUUUGUACUAGAAGUUCAACAUUUAGGUUGGAGUAAGAGGCCGCCCAAAAUCCAAUUGGAUUAUCUUACAUUUCUCUCAAUUGGUAGGUACAAUCAACUUCAUCUUUCUUGUAAUUUUUUUUAAUUAAGAUAUUAAAAAGUAUGCAAAUUUUGAGUUAAUAUCAAGAGUUUGAUCAUUAGUUGUUGAGGUUCUAUUUUGCUAUAAGAUUUAUUAAGAGUUUGUAUAAGAUCUAGGAUUUAAUUAGAAUUUGAUUUAGGAUUUGGUUAGGAUUUGGUUUAAAACUUUUCUAAGAUUUUUUUAGGAUUUAGGUUUUAGGAUUUUAUUAGGAUUUCAUUAGGAUUUGACAUAGGAUUUUAUUAAGAUUCAAUUAAGUUUUCAUUAGGAUUCGAUCUAAGAGUUAGUUAAGAUUUAAUUAAGAUUUUAAUUAAGAUUUGAUCUAAAACUUGGUUCAAAUUUAACUAAGAUUUGAAUUAAUAUUACAUUAAGAUUUUUAUUUAUAGUAUCUUUUUAAGAUUUUUUGUAUUUUUUGGGUGAUUUCUUUUAAAUUUAUUUUG
rnacentral:lncRNA from 1 species